AGAGUUUGAUCCUGGCUCAGAGCGAACGCUGGCGGCAGGCCUAAUACAUGCAAGUCGAACGCACCUUCGGGUGAGUGGCGGACGGGUGAGUAACACGUGGGAACGUGCCCUUUGGUUCGGAAUAAGCCGGGGAAACCUGGUCUAAUACCGAAUGUGCCCUAUGGGGGAAAGAUUUAUCGCCAUUGGAGCGGCCCGCGUCU
rnacentral:rRNA from 1 species